GUGGGGAAUUUUGGACAAUGGGCGCAAGCCUGAUCCAGCCAUUUCGCGUGCAGGAUGAAGGCCUUCGGGUUGUAAACUGCUUUUGUACGGAACGAAAAGCCUCUGGUUAAUACCCGGGGGUCAUGACGGUACCGUAAGAAUAAGCACCGGCUAACUACGUGCCAGCAGCCGCGGUAAUACGUAGGGUGCGAGCGUUAAUCGGAAUUACUGGGCGUAAAGCGUGCGCAGGCGGUGAUGUAAGACAGUUGUGAAAUCCCCGGGCUCAACCUGGGAACUGCAUCUGUGACUGCAUUGCUGGAGUGCGGCAGAGGGGGAUGGAAUUCCGCGUGUAGCAGUGAAAUGCGUAGAUAUGCGGAGGAACACCGAUGGCGAAGGCAAUCCCCUGGGCCUGCACUGACGCUCAUGCACGAAAGCGUGGGGAGCAAACAGGAUUAGAAACCCGGGUAGUCC
rnacentral:rRNA from 1 species